rnacentral:rRNA from 1 species
ACGGCUCAGUAACACGUGGAUAACCUACCCUCAGGAGGGGGAUAACCCCGGGAAACUGGGGAUAAUACCCCAUAGAUCAGGGACGCUGGAAUGCCCCCUGGUCGAAAGGUCCGCCGCCUGAGGAUGGGUCUGCGGCCGAUUAGGUUGUUGUUGGGGUAACGGCCCAACAAGCCUUUGAUCGGUACGGGUUGUGAGAGCAAGAGCCCGGAGAUGGAUUCUGAGACACAAAUCCAGGCCCUACGGGGCGCAGCAGGCGCGAAAACUUUACAAUGCGAGAAAUCGUGAUAAGGGAACCCCGAGUGCCCGUAAAUUCGGGCUGUCCAUCAGUGUAAAAAACUGGUGAAGAAAGGGCCGGGCAAGACCGGUGCCAGCCGCCGCGGUAAUACCGGCGGCUCGAGUGGUGGCCACUAUUACUGGGCUUAAAGCGUCCGUAGCUGGAUUGUUAAGUCUCUUGGGAAAUCCGCCGGCUUAACCGGCGGGCGUUCAGGAGAAACUGGCAAUCUAGGGACCGGGAGAGGUGAGAGGUACUCCAGGGGUAGGAGUGAAAUCCUGUAAUCCUUGGGGGACCACCUGUGGCGAAGGCGUCUCACUAGAACGGCUCCGACAGUGAGGGACGAAAGCUGGGGGAGCAAACCAGAUUAGAUACCCGGGUAGUCCCAGCUGUAAACGAUGCGCGUUAGGUGUAUCGGUGACCACGAGUCAUCGAGGUGCCGAAGGGAAACCGUGAAACGUGCCGCCUGGGAAGUACGGUCGCAAGGCUGAAACUUAAAGGAAUUGGCGGGGGAGCAC